AUGGACGUGAUAUCAACAUGGUUAUGGACUACCAUGUAUGUACAUAAAUAUGUAUUCCCUUUGGCGUCGAGCUGCCGCCACCGCGGACUAGGCCGGCGGCAGGAGGGGAUAUGGGAUGGACCUGGCGGUGAUAGGGUUGGGGUCCCCUGGCGUUGCCCAGGGGAGGCGACGCGAGGGGGUGAAGAGACGCAACUUGAAACAUGGAUGGCGGAUGCAAGGAACAAGUUCGCGCAACCAGAUGAGGAUACACCUUUUGGACGACACUUGAAGGAAGUUACUAAGUACCUGAACAUCGGAAUACCAAGCUUCACCGGAACCUACAACGCCACAGUACCAGAAGAGGAGCGCUGGAUGAUCCAAGUUCAAGUUCUAGGAAGGACGUUCACGCCAAUCACUGAGCCCACAGAGUUUUCCUUUGAUGCACCAAUCUGGAGUCUAGGAAAGAGCAUGGCAACCCACAUCACCAUGGGACGCAUUGGAGAAGUGUACCACAAUGGUCUCAAUGAUACUAUCUAUCAGAUUUGUGGGCGCCGAGACGAGCAAUGGGAGAUGAUCAGUACCAGGAAGGAUAGAUCUAUUGCAGCUUUCAUCCAGGAGUUAAACCAGCACAUUCGUCGCCAGGAAAACCAGAUGUGCGCAGACAUGAUAGAACUGAAGAAGGCAAAGACUAGGAUCAUGGAACUGGAGGAAGAACUCAAGGCUACACGCGAGGAUUAUAUGGAGGAAAUCGUCGCACUAGUGGAGGAGAAUGACGACCUGACAAAGAAGCUAGGAGUUUUCAUGGGAGACCCAGCACCAGGAGGAGAUGAUGACGAUUCUACUUGCCCGGAGAAUUACAUCAUCAUUGACGACACCGACUCGGACCCUAGUGAGGAUGAUUUGGAGGAUGAAGCCGGAGCAUAUAUCAUGGAGUCUUCGACUGAGCAAUUUUUCUAG
rnacentral:rRNA from 1 species